CACGACACCAUCCGCCAGAAAAUUACGAGCAAUUAAGCCUAAAACUCAAAAGACUUGACGGUGUCCCAACCUACCUAGAGGAGCCUGUUCCAUAAUCGAUACUCCACGCUCAACCCAACCACCCCUCGAACAACCAUCAGCCUAUAUACCGCCGUCACCAGCUUACCUUCCAAAAGCAAAAUAGUAAGCAAAAUAGUCAUACUACUAACACGUCAGGUCAAGGUGUAGCCCAUGGGGCGGCGCCAAUGGGCUACAUUGUCUGCCUCAGACUAUCUACGAAUUAUUUAUUGACAGACUAAUAUAAAGGCGGAUUUAGCAGUAAACUAAGCAAGACCACUUACUUUAACACAUGCUCUGGGACA
rnacentral:rRNA from 1 species